rnacentral:rRNA from 1 species
CAGUAGCCGCGGUAAUACGUAGGGUGCGAGCGUUAAUCGGAAUUACUGGGCGUAAAGCGUGCGCAGGCGGUCAUAUAAGACAGAUGUGAAAUCCCCGGGCUCAACCUGGGACCUGCAUUUGUGACUGUAUAGCUAGAGUACGGUAGAGGGGGAUGGAAUUCCGCGUGUAGCAGUGAAAUGCGUAGAUAUGCGGAGGAGCACCGAUGGCGAAGGCAAUCCCCAGGACCUGUACUGACGCUCAUGCACGAAAGCGUGGGGAGCAAACAGGAUUAGAGACCCCUGUAGUCCCUGUCUCUUAUAC